rfam:Pterocles gutturalis contig85173, whole genome shotgun sequence.
ACCCUUCUGAAAAGCACUCGUUGGGUCUGUGUGCGGUGGCUCUGCGAGUUGUCGUGGAAGGGCAGAGGAAAGGCAUCGCUUUUGGGUGAAGCGGCAGCUCGUGCUGUUCGUUUCAAUCAGCGCUGUGACAUUC